rnacentral:rRNA from 1 species
UACGUAGGGUGCGAGCGUUGUCCGGAAUUACUGGGCGUAAAGAGCUCGUAGGUGGUUUGUCGCGUUGUCCGUGAAAACUCACAACUCAAUUGUGGGCGUGCGGGCGAUACGGGCAGACUGGAGUACUGCAGGGGAGACUGGAAUUCCUGGUGUAGCGGUGGAAUGCGCAGAUAUCCGGAAGAACACCGGUGGCGAAGGCGGUCUGCUGGGCAGUGCUGACACUGAGGCGCGGACAGCGUGGGGAGCAAACAGGAUAGAAACCCUGGUACGUCCGAGUACCAACGUGUCUGCGCA